GCGCUUGAGAUCAGACUCAGCCUCGGGCAAACAACUUUCCUUCUGGGUGGUGCACUUGCUCUUGGCUGGGCCAGCAUCAGUUAGGGUGGUGGAAUAAAGGCCUGUGGAAUGUGACUCCACUUUGGAGUGUUAUAGCCUCGGGUGCCAUCCCACCUGCCCUGACUGUGGACCGCGCUUUGGCUAGGAUGCUGGCAUAAUGGUCUUUAGCGGCCCGUCUUGAAACACGGACCAAGGAGUC
rnacentral:rRNA from 1 species